UACGUAGGGGGCAAGCGUUGUCCGGAUUUAUUGGGCGUAAAGAGCUCGUAGGCGGUUCCGUAAGUCGAGUGUGAAAAAUCUGGGCUCAACCCAGUGGAGCACUCGAUACUGCGGUGACUAGAGUACGGUAGAGGAGUGUGGAAUUCCUGGUGUAGCGGUGAAAUGCGCAGAUAUCAGGAGGAACACCGGUGGCGAAGGCGGCCCUCUGGACGGUGACUGACGCUGAGACGCGAAAGCGUGGGGAGCAAACAGG
rnacentral:rRNA from 1 species